CAGGCUUAACACAUGCAAGUCGAGGGGCAGCAUGGUCUUAGCUUGCUAAGACUGAUGGCGACCGGCGCACGGGUGAGUAACACGUAUCCAACCUGCCGUCUACUCUUGGACAGCCUUCUGAAAGGAAGAUUAAUACAAGAUGGCAUCAUGAGUCCGCAUGUUCACAUGAUUAAAGGUAUUCCGGUAGACGAUGGGGAUGCGUUCCAUUAGAUAGUAGGCGGGGUAACGGCCCACCUAGUCUUCGAUGGAUAGGGGUUCUGAGAGGAAGGUCCCCCACAUUGGAACUGAGACACGGUCCAAACUCCUACGGGAGGCAGCAGUGAGGAAUAUUGGUCAAUGGGCGAGAGCCUGAACCAGCCAAGUAGCGUGAAGGAUGACUGCCCUAUGGGUUGUAAACUUCUUUUAUAAAGGAAUAAAGUCGGGUAUGCAUACCCGUUUGCAUGUACUUUAUGAAUAAGGAUCGGCUAACUCCGUGCCAGCAGCCGCGGUAAUACGGAGGAUCCGAGCGUUAUCCGGAUUUAUUGGGUUUAAAGGGAGCGUAGAUGGAUGUUUAAGUCAGUUGUGAAAGUUUGCGGCUCAACCGUAAAAUUGCAGUUGAUACUGGAUAUCUUGAGUGCAGUUGAGGCAGGCGGAAUUCGUGGUGUAGCGGUGAAAUGCUUAGAUAUCACGAAGAACUCCGAUUGCGAAGGCAGCCUGCUAAGCUGCAACUGACAUUGAGGCUCGAAAGUGUGGGUAUCAAACAGGAUUAGAUACCCUGGUAGUCCACACGGUAAACGAUGAAUACUCGCUGUUUGCGAUAUACAGCAAGCGGCCAAGCGAAAGCGUUAAGUAUUCCACCUGGGGAGUACGCCGGCAACGGUGAAACUCAAAGGAAUUGACGGGGGCCCGCACAAGCGGAGGAACAUGUGGUUUAAUUCGAUGAUACGCGAGGAACCUUACCCGGGCUUAAAUUGCAGAUGAAUUACGGUGAAAGCCGUAAGCCGCAAGGCAUCUGUGAAGGUGCUGCAUGGUUGUCGUCAGCUCGUGCCGUGAGGUGUCGGCUUAAGUGCCAUAACGAGCGCAACCCUUGUUGUCAGUUACUAACAGGUUCCGCUGAGGACUCUGACAAGACUGCCAUCGUAAGAUGUGAGGAAGGUGGGGAUGACGUCAAAUCAGCACGGCCCUUACGUCCGGGGCUACACACGUGUUACAAUGGGGGGUACAGAGGGCCGCUACCACGCGAGUGGAUGCCAAUCCCCAAAACCUCUCUCAGUUCGGACUGGAGUCUGCAACCCGACUCCACGAAGCUGGAUUCGCUAGUAAUCGCGCAUCAGCCACGGCGCGGUGAAUACGUUCCCGGGCCUUGUACACACCGCCCGUCAAGCCAUGGGAGCCGGGGGUACCUGAAGUGCGUAACCGCGAGGAGCGCCCUAGGGUAAAACUGGUGACUGGGGCUAAGUCGUA
rnacentral:rRNA from 1 species